rnacentral:rRNA from 1 species
CGGCGUAAAGAGUGGUUAUGGGUAAAAUAACACUAAAGCUAAAGACCUCUCAAGCAGUCAUACGCACCCAGAUGCUCGAAACACCAGAACGAAAGUCGCUUUAACUCACCCACCAGAACCCACGACAGCCGGGAAACAAACUGGGAUUAGAUACCCCACUAUGCCCUGCUAUAAACUUUGAUGCAUAGACACAAUAAACAUCCGCCAGGGAACUACGAGCGUUAGCUUAAAACCCAAAGGACUUGGCGGUGCUUCAGACCCCCCUAGAGGAGCCUGUUCUAGAACCGAUAACCCCCGUUUAACCUCACCACUUCUAGCCCUUCCCCGCCUAUAUACCGCCGUCGUCAGCUUACCCUGUGAAGGCACCAUAGUAAGCAAAAUGGGUAAACCCCAAAACGUCAGGUCGAGGUGUAGCACACGAAGUGGAAAGAAAUGGGCUACAUUAUCUGAAACAGAUCACUAACGAACGGUCCCUUGAAACAAAUAGACCCAAAGGAGGAUUUAGCAGUAAAGAAGGAAUAGAGCGCCCUCUUGAAGCCGGCCCUGAAGCGCGCACACACCGCCCGUCACUCUCCCCGACAACC